rnacentral:lncRNA from 1 species
CAGGGGGAAUGGGAAGAAGGGCAACCUUCGGAAUGAAAAUAAAUGAUAUAGUUUUAUAAAAACACUAAUUUAAAAGAAUGAAAAUCAUAGUAAUCAUAUGUUUAUUUGUAUGUUUCAUUUUUUCUUUUUUCUUUUUUUGUUUCUAUGCUUCCAUGGUUCAAACUGCAAGACUUUUCACAAGCUUGGCAAUUAAUCUACCGUGGUCACAUUUCCAAAAUAAUGACACCUGCUCACCCAGCAACUAUCAAUGUUAAUGCCCUACGACUGAACUAUAGGUGAGUACACAUUUACUGUACUUGUAAUUUUA